rnacentral:rRNA from 1 species
CGAACGCUGGCGGCGUGCUUAACACAUGCAAGUCGAACGCGAAAGGGACUUCGGGUCCUGAGUAAAGUGGCGCACGGGUGAGUAACGCGUAGAUAACCUGUCUUCAUGUCUGGAAUAAUACGCCGAAAGGGGUACUAAUACCGGAUAUUCUUGCUUUUCAUAAGUUAUGCAAGCAAAGGUGGCCUCUGCAUAUGCUACUGCAUGAAGAGGGGUCUGCGUACCAUUAGCUAGUAGGUGGGGUAAUGGCCUACCUAGGCGACGAUGGUUAGCGGGUCUGAGAGGAUGAUCCGCCACACUGGCACUGGAACACGGGCCAGACUCCUACGGGAGGCAGCAGUGAGGAAUAUUGCGCAAUGGGGGAAACCCUGACGCAGCGACGCCGCGUGAGUGAAGGAAGGCCUUCGGGUCGUAAAGCUCUGUCAAGAGGAAAGAAGUGUACAAUGGCUAAUACCUGUUGUAUUUGACGGUACCUCUAAAGGAAGCACCGGCUAACUCCGUGCCAGCCGCUGC